rnacentral:lncRNA from 1 species
AUCUAUCCCGUCCUUUUCCCCCUAAGGUUGGGACUUCGGAGGUGGAGCGAAACAAGUCGGGGCGAAAGUCGAUGAGCCCGUCACACGCACUGGACAACACGGUUGGGAAGGACGGAAAUGGGAAGAGAAGUUUGCAGCUUGAAGCGGCCUCCGGUGUAUUCUUUCCAAACCGUGUUCGCGAGACUUGCAAUGAUGUAUUUUUUUUU